AAUAUCUGUUUUCCUUGAAGGCCUGGUGUACCACCCUCUCCUCAAUGAAGCCUUCAUUCAUUUGCCGCCUUCACCUUGUACCACAGCAAAGGGAUCAUGCAAUGAUUUAACAACAGCUGUUUUGAAGGGCACAUAUGCUGUUUUCUGAAUCAUGGCUUACAUCAUCUAAAAUGCAUCUUUUUUCCUGACUCCAGUGGACCAACAUGAAAAACAGUUCUUUGUUAGGAUAUAGAAAGACAACUGCAGAAGGCAGUGGCACCCCACUCCAGUACUCCUGCCUGGAAAAUCCCAUGGAUGGAGGAGCCUGGAACGCUGCAGUCCAUGGGGUCACUGAGGGUCGGACACGACUGAGCGACUUCACUUUCACUUUUCACUUUCAUGCAUUGGAGGAGAAAAUGGCAACCCACUCCAGUUUUCUUGCCUGGAGAAUCCCAGGGAUGGGGGAGCCUUGUGGGCUGCCGUCUGUGGGAUCACACAGAGUCGGACACGACUGAAGUGACUUAGCAGCAGCAGCAGAAAGACAACUGCUUUUCUUUUUUUUUUUAGUCCAAAAUACUUUUUAUUCUUUGGUAAAAAAACUUUUGUGCAUCUAUAAGCUUUUGAGAAUUUGUCAGUUCCAAAUGUAGUUGGUAUUAUUUUUUUUCCUUUUAAAAAUAAUGUAAUUUAUUUGCAGUAUAGCAGAAACUAACACAACAUUGUGAAGCAACAAUAUUUCAAUAAAAAUUAACUUAAAAGAUGUUAUUUUAAAAAAUAAUUGAGGAAGUAUAAUUGUAGCUCUAAAUUUCAGUUCUAAUAUUAAGAAAAAUGAGAUGGAGAGGGUAACAUUAACAUAUAAAGGAUAUAGUCAGAAAACACUGCCAUUGAGGAAAUACACAGAUCAGCUACCUGCAUUUAAUCAAUAACAUGAACUUGGCUGCAGUUUGUCCAACCCAAAGUAUAAGAAUGAAAGAAUUUUAAAACUACAAAAUGACUUAAGAGUUUUACCAAGAAAAUAUUUUUUACCCAAAAUAGAAAUUACUCAGUGUGGAAAUAAACUUAAUAAUAUGUUUAACUGAAGUGUCACUGAAAGUUUGUUGGUUGCAGCCCCUACCCACUGAUUGUAGUUUAGCGCCUAUUUUACUCAGCAACACCAAAUGUAGUUGGUAUUCUUAUUUUGAGAAUACACCAACAUGGAUUUUUAUCUAAGAGUUAAAUAAAUUUCCUCAAACUUUUUGAUAACUUUUCUUAGUGUGUAAAAAAUUCAUGUAGGGAUUUUAACAUGAAUAUAUUAGAUUAACUAUACAUUCUCAAAAAAUUUUCCUUAUGAUAAAAUUAAAAUCAUUUUUCACCCUUCAUAAAACAUGAUUUUUUUGUUGAGCUUUU
rnacentral:lncRNA from 1 species